rnacentral:rRNA from 1 species
UACGUAGGGCGCGAGCGUUGUCCGGAAUUAUUGGGCGUAAAGAGCUCGUAGGCGGCUUGUCGCGUCGGAUGUGAAAGCCCGGGGCUUAACUCCGGGUCUGCAUUCGAUACGGGCAGGCUAGAGUUCGGUAGGGGAGAACGGAAUUCCUGGUGUAGCGGUGAAAUGCGCAGAUAUCAGGAGGAACACCGGUGGCGAAGGCGGUUCUCUGGGCAUGUCCUGACGCUGAGGAGCGAAAGUGUGGGGAGCGAACAGG